rnacentral:misc_RNA from 1 species
GAUGAAGAACGUAGCGAAAUGCGAUACGUAAUGUGAAUUGCAGAAUUCAGUGAAUCAUCGAGUCUUUGAACGCACAUUGCGCCCCCUGGUAUUCCGGGGGGCAUGCCUGUCCGAGCGUCAUUGCUGCCCUCAAGCCCGGCUUGUGUGUUGGGUCUCGUCCCCCUUCCCGGGGGGACGGGCCCGAAAGGCAGCGGCGGCACCGUGUCCGGUCCUCGAGCGUAUGGGGCUUUGUCACCCGCUCUGUAGGCCCGGCCGGCGCUUGCCGAUCAACCAAAACUUUUUUCCAGGUUGACCUCGGAUCAGGUAGGGAUACCCGCUGAACUUAAGCAUACAAUAAGCGGAGGA